rnacentral:rRNA from 1 species
CCUACGGGAGGCAGCAGUGGGGGAUAUUGCACAAUGGGGGAAACCCUGAUGCAGCGACGCCGCGUGGACGAAGAAGUAUUUCGGUAUGUAAAGUCCUAUCAGCAGGGAAGAAGAAAUGACGGUACCUGAAUAAGAAGCCCCGGCUAACUACGUGCCAGCAGCCGCGGUAAUACGGAGGGGGCAAGCGUUAUCCGGAUUUACUGGGUGUAAAGGGAGCGCAGGCGGCAGCGCAAGUCUGAUGUGAAAGCCCGGGGCCCAACCGCGGGACUGCAUUGGAAACUGCGCAGGUGGAGUGCCGGAGGGGUAAGCGGAAUGCCUAGUGUAGCGGUGAAAUGCGUAGAUAUUAGGAGGAACACCAGUGGCGAAGGCGGCUUACUGGACGGCAACUGACGCUGAGGCUCGAAAGCGUGGGGAGCAAACAGGAUUAGAUACCCUUGUAGUC